rnacentral:tRNA from 1 species
GCCUGGCUGGCUCAGUCAGAAGAGCAUGAAACUCUUGAUCUUGAGGUUGUGAGUUUGAGCCCUACGUUGGGUG